GCCUGAACUGAAACAUCUAAGUAGGGCGAGGAAGAGAAAUCAACCGAGAUUCCGCUAGUAGUGGCGAGCGAACGCGGAAGAGGCCAAACCGGAGGUAGCAAUAUUUCCGGGGUUAGGACUGCAAUAUGUAACUUUAAUCUUUAACUGAAUGCUUUGGGAAGAGCAGCGAUACAGGGUGAUAGCCCCGUAAGUGAAAAGGAUUGAGUGCUAGCAGUAUCCAGAGUACCAGCGGACACGUGAAACCCGCUGGGAAGAUGGGGGGACCAUCCUCCAAGCCUAAAUACUACUCAGUGACCGAUAGUGGAGCAGUACCGUGAGGGAAAGGUGAAAAGUACCCCGGGAGGGGAGUGAAAAAGAACCUGAAACCUUGUGCCUACAAGCACCGAGAGCACGUUAAAGUGUGAUCGGGUACUUUUUGUAGAACGGUCCGGCGAGUUAAUAUUUGCAGCGAGGUUAAGGAACUGGAGUUCCGGAGCCGCAGCGAGAGCGAGUCUGAAUAGGGCGUAUGAAGUUGCAGGUAUUAGACCCGAAACCGGGUGACCUAUCCAUGAGCAGGCUGAAGCGGUGGUAAGACACCGUGGAGGGCCGCACCCACGUCUGUUGAAAAAGCCGGGGAUGACUUGUGGAUAGCGGAGAAAUUCCAAUCGAACUCGGAGAUAGCUGGUUCUCCCCGAAAUAGCUUUAGGGCUAGCGUUAUGUUAGAUUACCGGAGGUAAAGCACUGAAUGGUUUAGGGGCUGAUAAAGUUACCGACGCCUAUCAAACUCAGAAUGCCGGCUAAUUGAUGCAUAGCAGUCAGACAGUGUGAGAUAAGUUUCAUUGUCAAAAGGGAAACAGCCCAGACCCACAGCUAAGGUCCCAAAUGUAUGCUAAGUGGAAAACGAUGUGGAGUUGCGAAAACAACCAGGAUGUUGGCUUAGAAGCAGCCACUCAUUCAAAGAGUGCGUAAUAGCUCACUGGUCGAGUGGUUUUGCGCAGAAAAUGUAACGGGGCUAAGUGUUCAACCGAAGCUUAGGCAUUGCAGUAAUGCAUUGGGUAGGGGAGCGUCGUAUGCGGGGCGAAGUCAGAGCGGAAGCACUGGUGGACUGCAUACGAGUGAGAAUGCCGGAAUAAGUAGCGAGAAUUAUGUGAGAAUCAUAAUGGCCGAAAAUCUAAGGUUUCUUGGGGAAGGUUCGUCCGCCCAAGGUUAGUCGGGAGCUAAGCUCAGGCCGAAAGGCGUAGGCGAUGCACAUACGGUAGAAAUUCCGUAACCACCGAACAUUUAAGCUAGAGGGACGCUUUCUUUAAGGUUAUCCCGGGCGAUGGUUGCCCCGGGCGUAAGGGACCGAAAUAUAGUAGGGAAGUAACUGGCGAGAGAGACGAGAAAAGCUCUAGUGUAUACUAAGGUGCCCGUACCGCAAACCGACACAGGUAGAUGGGAUGAGUAUUCUAAGGCCAACGGGAGAAGGGUUGUUAAGGAACUCGGCAAAUUGGCCCCGUAACUUCGGGAUAAGGGGCGCCUGCGAGAGCAGGCCGCAGUGAAAAGGCCCAAGCGACUGUUUAGCAAAAACACAGCUCUCUGCUAAAUCGAAAGAUGACGUAUAGGGGGUGACGCCUGCCCGGUGCUGGAAGGUUAAGGGGAGUGCUUAGCAGCAAUGCGAAGGUGCGAACUUAAGCCCCAGUAAACGGCGGCCGUAACAAUAACGGUCCUAAGGUAGCGAAAUUCCUUGUCAGGUAAGUUCUGACCCGCACGAAUGGCGUAACGAUUUGGGCACUGUCUCAACAGCCCGCCCGGCGAAAUUGUAGUACCGGUGAAGAUGCCGGUUUCCCGCAACUAGACGGAAAGACCCCAUGGAGCUUCACUGUAGCUUGAUAUUGGAUCUCGGUAUUCCAUGUACAGGAUAGGUGGGAGGCUAGGAAGCGAGCGCGCCAGCGUUCGUGGAGCCGUCCUUGGGAUACCACUCUUGGGAUAUUGGAGUUCUAACCUGCGACCAUGAAUCUGGUCGGGGGACAUUGUCAGGUGGGCAGUUUGACUGGGGCGGUCGCCUCCAAAAGAGUAACGGAGGCGCUCAAAGGUUCGUUCAGCACGGACGGAAAUCGUGCACUGAGUGUAAACGCAUAAACGAGCCUAACUGCGAGAAUGACGGUUCGAGCAGUAACGAAAGUUGGAGUUAGUGAUCCGGCGGUAUGUGAAUGGAAAUGCCGUCGCUCAACGGAUAAAAGCUACCCUGGGGAUAACAGGCUGAUCU
rnacentral:rRNA from 1 species